UCUAGAUAGCAUUGAUUGAUUCCCAAAGACUGCCAACAAAAUUAAGAAGCACCGGGUCGCAAGGAGCAGAAGAAAAACCUUACCUUCACAAAUUUUUCAUCUUCUAUGCAGAUGAGGUAUAACUGCACUUAAAGAGUACCGGAGUUGAAUGAAUUGAAUUGUAAAGGUCAACUAACAAGAAUCUAUGAAUGUCCAGAAUUAUCAUGCAUCAAAUACAUGACAAUUGAAAUAUGACAACAGCUGAACCAAAACAAGUGACUGAAUGGCAGCUAAUUUAAAUAAAAAGAUUAUGUAUAAAAUUGGUAUGCACCCAAUGCAUGCACACCUGUAGCCCCUUUGUUUACAAAAUUUCUCCUCUGCUUGAAUCCACCUGCAGCAUAUCAAAGACUAAUGUGAGUCAUGUAAUUUCAGGGACAUCCAUUGAUCAGUUGAGUAGGAUGCAAGAAGGGGAGAAAUAAGUUUGAGACAUGUUUGCCACAGGCACUGCUUGGUGUAAUUAAGGAAGAACACUGCUCAUACCCGAUUCAUGAUGGUACCCAUGAGCCCUGAACAAACCUCACUUAACAUAAUUUAUUAAGGUCCCAACUUGACUAACAUAAUAUGUUUAAUGGACAUGUAACUUUUAAACAAUCUUGCUGCAAAAUGAAUGAGGUCAAUUAUGGAUUAACAUAUUUAAGAGCUUAAAAAAGCUCCUUUGAAGAAUUGAUCAGAUUCACAUGUAUUCUUGCGAGAUAACCUUGAGUUCCUUUCUGUUCAGCAUACAGGAACUCAAGGCUAUCGCGAGAAUACAUGUGAGUCAGCUCUUUUGGCAAGCAUGCACAGACUUUUAACUCAAAAUCAAAUCCAGAAGUGUGAUAUGAAAUGUAAUUAAGUAGAUUUUGUGUUGUGUAUGCACACCAACAAUAAUAAAACUGCCAGCAUGAAUUUGAAACUGUACUCUGUGUCUAGCUGAAAGCAGUGGAUACACUUACAUGGCUGCAGUCACGAGAGAUAGCAAAGCUGUUUGCUUCAACCGGUCUUUAAGUUAUAUGCCAAUUAAGUGAAGCUCAUGAAAGCUAGACAUGCAUUUUUAGCUGUGUUAUAAUGGGAAUGGCUCAGAGUCAAGCACCAUUCUGGACUAUGAAGCCUUCCUUAUAGUGUUUAUCAAGGAUGGGGCGCACAUUUGUUACCCUAGGUAUCAUUGUUCUGCAUAUGCUUACGAAACAGUGCAUCACUGAAAGAUUAACCUAUGCAGCUGGGAACCAAUUACCCUAGGUAUCACAGCGCUUCAUGUAAUGUUUUCCUUUUAAAUGAAGGAUGUGCAUUGCUCGUG
rnacentral:lncRNA from 1 species